GGGCCCGCACAAGCGGUGGAGUAUGUGGUUUAAUUCGAUGCAACGCGAAGAACCUUACCAGGGUUUGACAUCCUGCGAAUCUCUUGGAAACGAGAGAGUGCCUUCGGGAACGCAGUGACAGGUGGUGCAUGGCUGUCGUCAGCUCGUGUCGUGAGAUGUUGGGUUAAGUCCCGCAACGAGCGCAACCCACGUCUUUAGUUGCCAGCAUUUAGUUGGGCACUCUAGAGAGACUGCCGGUGAUAAACCGGAGAAGGUGUGGAUGACGUCAAGUCAUCAUGCCCCUUACAUCUGGGCUACACACGUACUACAAUGCUACGGACAAAGGGCAGCAAACUCGCGAGAGCUAGCAAAUCCCAUAAAGCAGUCUC
rnacentral:rRNA from 1 species